GAUGAACGCUGGCGGCGUGCCUAAUACAUGCAAGUCGAGCGAACGGACGAGAAGCUUGCUUCUCUGAUGUUAGCGGCGGACGGGUGAGUAACACGUGGAUAACCUACCUAUAAGACUGGGAUAACUUCGGGAAACCGGAGCUAAUACCGGAUAAUAUUUUGAACCGCAUGGUUCAAAAGUGAAAGACGGUCUUGCUGUCACUUAUAGAUGGAUCCGCGCUGCAUUAGCUAGUUGGUAAGGUAACGGCUUACCAAGGCAACGAUGCAUAGCCGACCUGAGAGGGUGAUCGGCCACACUGGAACUGAGACACGGUCCAGACGCCUACGGGAGGCAGCAGUAGGGAUUCUUCCGCAAUGGGCGAAAGCCUGACGGAGCAACGCCGCGUGAGUGAUGAAGGUCUUCGGAUCGUAAAACUCUGUUAUUAGGGAAGAACAUAUGUGUAAGUAACUGUGCACAUCUUGACGGUACCUAAUCAGAAAGCCACGGCUAACUACGUG
rnacentral:rRNA from 1 species